AUGAACGCUAGCUACAGGCUUAACACAUGCAAGUCGAGGGGCAGCAUGGUCUUAGCUUGCUAAGGCCGAUGGCGACCGGCGCACGGGUGAGUAACACGUAUCCAACCUGCCGUCUACUCUUGGACAGCCUUCUGAAAGGAAGAUUAAUACAAGAUGGCAUCAUGAGUCCGCAUGUUCACAUGAUUAAAGGUAUUCCGGUAGACGAUGGGGAUGCGUUCCAUUAGAUAGUAGGCGGGAUAACGGCCCACCUAGUCUUCGAUGGAUAGGGGUUCUGAGAGGAAGGUCCCCCACAUUGGAACUGAGACACGGUCCAAACUCCUACGGGAGGCAGCAGUGAGGAAUAUUGGUCAAUGGGCGAGAGCCUGAACCAGCCAAGUAGCGUGAAGGAUGACUGCCCUAUGGGUUGUAAACUUCUUUUAUAAAGGAAUAAAGUCGGGUAUGGAUACCCGUUUGCAUGUACUUUAUGAAUAAGGAUCGGCUAACUCCGUGCCAGCAGCCGCGGUAAUACGGAGGAUCCGAGCGUUAUCCGGAUUUAUUGGGUUUAAAGGGAGCGUAGAUGGAUGUUUAAGUCAGUUGUGAAAGUUUGCGGCUCAACCGUAAAAUUGCAGUUGAUACUGGAUAUCUUGAGUGCAGUUGAGGCAGGCGGAAUUCGUGGUGUAGCGGUGAAAUGCUUAGAUAUCACGAAGAACUCCGAUUGCGAAGGCAGCCUGCUAAGCUGCAACUGACAUUGAGGCUCGAAAGUGUGGGUAUCAAACAGGAUUAGAUACCCUGGUAGUCCACACGGUAAACGAUGAAUACUCGCUGUUUGCGAUAUACUGCAAGCGGCCAAGCGAAAGCGUUAAGUAUUCCACCUGGGGAGUACGCCGGCAACGGUGAAACUCAAAGGAAUUGACGGGGGCCCGCACAAGCGGAGGAACAUGUGGUUUAAUUCGAUGAUACGCGAGGAACCUUACCCGGGCUUAAAUUGCAGAUGAAUUACGGUGAAAGCCGUAAGCCGCAAGGCAUCUGUGAAGGUGCUGCAUGGUUGUCGUCAGCUCGUGCCGUGAGGUGUCGGCUUAAGUGCCAUAACGAGCGCAACCCUUGUUGUCAGUUACUAACAGGUUCCGCUGAGGACUCUGACAAGACUGCCAUCGUAAGAUGUGAGGAAGGUGGGGAUGACGUCAAAUCAGCACGGCCCUUACGUCCGGGGCUACACACGUGUUACAAUGGGGGGUACAGAGGGCCGCUACCACGCGAGUGGAUGCCAAUCCCCAAAACCUCUCUCAGUUCGGACUGGAGUCUGCAACCCGACUCCACGAAGCUGGAUUCGCUAGUAAUCGCGCAUCAGCCACGGCGCGGUGAAUACGUUCCCGGGCCUUGUACACACCGCCCGUCAAGCCAUGGGAGCCGGGGGUACCUGAAGUGCGUAACCGCGAGGAGCGCCCUAGGGUAAAACUGGUGACUGGGGCU
rnacentral:rRNA from 1 species